GUGACAUUUUAGGCCUACAGUGCAAUAAUAUGUCAAAUUUAAAGAGUUUCCCAAGAUUAUAAACAUACAAAUGUAAUAAAAAUUAUUGUUCGCGAAUAUUCAAUUUGGAAUGCGAUUUUGUUAAUAAAAAAAAUACUUAUAACUUAUGCAAAACCCAAGAUAGGCAUUUAUAUUUAUUUCUUUUGCGUUCAUUUUCAAAUUCGCCGUGCAUAUAUUUUUGUGCAUGGCGCUUGAGAGGGCAUCACGUGACUAAAAACGACCAACCAACGACCUCGCUUCGGCCAUCUUGGCAUCUUCAUCUUGGCGACCUUGCCUUGCCGUGGAUUGUUUUUAGUUGUUUGUAUUAUUUGUGCUUUUUAAGAAUAUUUUUUUAAUUCGGAUACUUUUAUAAUAGCUUUAAUAGUAUUAUUAACAUAGUGCAUAAAAUGGUGUCCUGUUUUUAACGCAGUUGGAGUAGCAGAAACAAAUGUAGAUAAAAAAAUCUGCAGGAAUAACGUUUCAAUUAUGACAGAAGCUCAAAACAAAUGACUGUGAAUGAAAAGCCCUAUUAAAAGCUUUCCAGAAGAUCCUGCGAAGAAGACAUGAAGUAUAGAUCAGAUUUGUUAAUAGAGGAGUAUGUUCAAAACACUUUUUAGAAAAAGAUAUUGACAGAACUUCACUUUCAUCUGUUCGUUUGAGAGACUGUGCUGUUCCAAUAGCUUAUGUCACACAGAAUCAGCUGAGAGAAGUGGUCUACAAAAAACCAGAAAGGAAACGGAAUAUGUGGCUACGAAAAGCAAAAGAAAGGUUUACAAAGCAAAUGUGACACAUUUUUUUAUAAUAUUUAGGAAUGUCAGCAAAUUACAUUAAAAAAUGUAUGUAAAGAUUUUUUGCAAUAAAAAUGUUUAUAUUUA